AGUGGACGCGAGCAUCUUUUGUGGCCAAGUUGUUUAGGGCGCACGGUGGAUGCCUUGGCACCAGGAGCCGAUGAAGGACGUGGGAGGCUGCGUUAAGCCUCGGGGAGUCGCCAGCCAGACGUUGAUCCGGGGAUGUCCGAAUGGGGAAACCUGGCACCAGUCAUGUGGUGUCGCCGCCGUCUGAAUGUAUAGGGCGGUUGGUGGUAACGCGGG
rnacentral:rRNA from 1 species